GUAUGUGUACCCUUUACCACACAAAUCUAGAAUAUGAUUGAUUUAGAAAUAUAUUUGGAAAUGUUUUUAGUAUGUAAUCGCUGGACAUCCAUGAUGAUAUUGAUGAUGAAUUCAAUCAUAUUCAGAACUCCGUGUAAGUAUAUACAUUUUAUGUGACAUUUGAUAUUUUGAGUCAUGUUGUCUGGAAGGGGCUCAGACAGAUAACAAACCUAAAGCCCCACACUCUACUAAUGGCCCACUUCAGGACCGUUAGUAGAUGUUUUCACAUUCACAAGGUAUUUUUUCUGGCUGCUUUGUGAGGGUCUGCUUCCUGGGGAGGCAGUUGACGGCCCUGUCUAGGAUGGAGAGAUUCGUCUCUGAUGGUGGGGAUGUGGUGUCAAGACCAGGUUGUCUCCAAAACCCUUCACUUUACAAAAACAAUUUCAUACCUCUUUCACACCACAAUUACCAUGGAGAGGGUCUGAUGAUCGUGUAGUGACAGGUCGCGACCAUAGAUGGCGGUAGGGAGCGGUGCGCGCCAUAAAACAAAGAAGAAGAACAGUGUAGUCAACAACAGAAAGCAUGGUCGCCAGUCAGCAGUUACCGACGGAGGAGUUGAGCCUUCAUUGCCUCCGUCAUCGCGCAAAUUAGCGGGUUCACCCGGGUGUGACGUUCACAUCAAUGCCGAUUGGAGGUCAACUGCAGAGCCGGUGUCCUUCUAUGAUCACAUCCUGAUGUACUGUAUGUCAGCAAGCUCUUUUGCAUCAGCCCUUCAGUCUAUGAAGGCAGAAUCUUACUGGCUUGCUCAGACUACAACCACCACGUCCACAGACCACCCAAAGGAAGAUCUGACAGCUCUACUCAUAUUAAAAGGAUAAGACCACAGACCGAGAGGUGAUGAAUAAGGAAAGAAAUCCUGCAACUACGAUAAAAAAUGUAAUUUGUAGAUCCAAAUACAUAAAUCUACCUGAGUAUUGUAAAUAUUCAACACGCCUACUUUGGAUUUUAUUCAUGUGCAAAAUAAAGCUUGACAAUAUCA